UAAGGUUUCAGAUUCCAUGAGACAGAGGACGCCUGGCGUUGAAUCUCAUCUAGACGAAACGUUAGCGGUAAGUCCAAUGCUUGUAAAACAAUAUGUUAUCGACUUCCACGUAUUUGACUUUUACUAUACCGUUACCGCGCUACAUCUCGCUGGCUUAAUACGCAUUUGAUUGGUUAAUCGGGUAGAUUAAACGCAUCUGAUUGGUGAACUUCAAAUUCUGCAGAACAAGGCUGCCAAGAAUAUUUUCCUUUUUCCUCGGCAACUGCUGUGUUGUCAGCCCUGAGGUGGUUCAAUUUAGAACGUCGCAGGACUUACCAUUGCUGCAUUUAUAUUUACAAGUGUGUUAACGAUCUCGUGGAACAUUCUUUGGACAUUGUCAGCAUAGUAGUCAGAUUCAUAACACCUGAAAUAAGGACACACUAAAGCCAGUUUUCCACUUCAAUCGUAUCGUACCGAAACGUAGCGUAUUUCUUUGUUUCCUGAGCGGUAGUGUGGAACUAAUAGACCUUUCCCCUUUUGCGUGAAAUUUUGAUCUAGACAAGUCUGGACAAAAAUUUCAUCACAGUUUGUUUGAAAGAGCAUCACAAAAUUAGUAAUAUUCCGAAGUUUCGUUGCGAAAUGUUGUAAAAUGCGGAUAAUAUAACCUUGCGAAGUUUGCCGUUUUUCAGUCAUUUUGCAUUACAAACGGGAAAUUGAUAAUCAGUUUGAUCAUCUGAUUAUCAAUUUCCCAUUUGUAACGUAAAAUGACUGGAAAACGGCAAACUUCGCAAGGCUAUAUUAUCCGCAUUUUACAACAUUUCGCAACGAAACUUCGCAAUAUUACUAAUUUUGUGAUGCUCUUUCAAGUUGUAAUGAAAUUUUUGUCCAGGCAUAUUUAGAUCAAAAUUUCACUCAUAAAGAGAAAGGUCUAUAGAGACCUUACGAUUUUUGACGGCAACGGCUACCAGUACAAUAAAUCAUUGAAAAGAAUUGAAUAAUUACAAUAUAUGAAUAAUUUAGACAUUGUCUUCGCUCUGUUUACAACGCCAAAUCACAGAUUUUCACAUCUUGAUACAACGGCUACAUUUCAAGCCGCAAAAAGUGCAAUUUCAAACUGGGUUCAGCAGAACUCUUCCCAAACAUAAGAUCCAUGUCUUCAACUUCUAAGACUGUAUUCAAUUCAUAUACGAUUGAUAAUAUACGACGAAUUAGGCUAUCUUUACUACCAUUUAUUUGAAGGAGUUUGUUUUGGCCGUCGUCGUCGCAUUGCCGUCCUAGAAUCGUAAGGUCUCUAAUGACUUCGACACAAAACACUACGGUACGUUACAACAGUUGAAGUGGAAAACAGGCUUAAGGCUAUACCUAAGGUUAAACGCAUGCAACUUUGGAAAACAACGCACAAAUUACCUAUCAAAGACUGGGAUAACCUGCACAGUGAAACACGGGAUGUUCACACAUUCAAUUCAAUUCAAGUUAUUAAAAAUAUAUGAAUUCGCACCAUGUUAUAUAUAGCAUUAGCUUAUAAAUAACGACUCUUAAAUGACAUUAUUCUCCAAACGUUUAACUUAGACUUAUUUGAAAAGAACCAAUUAUGAACCUUAAAAAACCCAAUUCUAAACAUUCUAUCCCAGAGGUCGCGGGUUCGAUUCCCACCGUGUUCAGGCAAAUUUUUCAGCUUACCCGGUGUGGAUGCACACUCAGAGUAACAUCACAAAGUAACAUCAUAUUCACCUGAGUACAUAACCGACCAACACACACAAGACUUUUAGGAUUUUUUAAGAGAACUGUAUUCUCCAAACGUAUUUGCUAUGUUUAUUGCAUGCUUUUAUACAUAAUUGUUUCUGUAUAAGUAGGACCUUUCUGAAAAUCACUUUCUGAAAGUCAAAUCUGAACCUCUCCAAUAUGUGUGAUGAAGGAAAUUCUGUGAAUUGGUUUAUCCACGGCCAGGCUUUUGAUAAAGUAUUUCGUUAUUUUUCUUCACAGAAAUUACAAGACCACAUGUUGACGUUAAUGGAUCAUCGAGCUAACCUUUCGUCUCAACACACGUGACAUCAAGAAAAAUAAAGCAAAACAAUACCUGGAUUUCCCGUUUCCCUACCUUACCUACACACGUAAAUACGCACAAGUUGUUACAGGUCUGUAAACAAGUUGUUACAAAUCUGUUCACAAGCUGUCAACAAGUUGUGUUCGCACUGCUUGUUCCUAGUUGUUGUAACACGCCUGGAACAAGCUGUUAACAACUUGUGAAAAGUUUAGUGGCAUUAUCAGACUUGUUACAAGGUUCUAACAAGUCUGAUACAGACAUGAUAUAACAAGAAUGUUACAAGGUUGACGCCAUAACGCAAUAUUAGACAGAUUUAGAUCAAGGACGUCAAAGACGACGUGAAAAUGGCGUGGCAUAUCCAUACAUGGGCACAAGACGCCAUUUUCAGGCCGUCUUUGACGUCCGCGUCCUCGAUCUAAAUCUGUCUAUUGUUAUAUCAUGAAUGUAUCGGAAUUGUUGGAACAACCUUGCAACAAGUCUGAUAGUAUAAACAAGGUUGUUACAAGUUGUUAACAGCUUGCUCCAAGCUUGGACUUGUCGACAACUUGGGACAAGCACUGCGAACAUAACUUGUUGACGGCUUGUUGGCAGACUUGCUACAAGAUGUGAGAUUUUUACGCGUGUUUAGGUUUUGACCACUGAAAUCACCGAUCCUAAUCUUUUCAACUAGGGCUUGCAGAGAGCUCGGAGCAAUUUUCCGUACCCAAUACGUGGCAUUGAUUUUGUAUUAGUUAUAUAUAAAGUAUAACGUAUUUGUUCCAAAGUUGAUAUGAUAUUUAACGAAUGCUUGUGUCAUCUGUGCUGUCAUAAUUGACAUAGAAUAUCAUAAUUCUCAUGCAGCAUGAGCAGUUCUAAAAAAAAAUACUAAAAAAGAAAACCCUACCUAAGUUUUUGCAAGAAGAAUUAGGAAACCCAGGUAUUUUUUGCCUUAAUUGAGCUGAAAAAGGUCAAAUAUACUGUGUAUAAAUAAAGUAACUUAAUUAAUUGAAGAGUCUGGAAAGAUCAGUGUGUAGUUAAACCUGACUGUCGAAUAAUAUAUUAUUAUAGUAUUAAAAACCAGAUAUAAAUAUAUAAAUAUACUAGUAAGUAGAUUUAAUUAAAAUUGCUUCGUUAUGUAAGUAUAACAACG